UUAUGGUGUCAUGGUCAUUGUUGACCGUACAUAUAAUCCCUGAAAUUGCUUUGCAACUUAUGCGGGUAUUAUACGGUGGUUAAUAGAGACCUUUGACAGAGAAGA
rnacentral:pre_miRNA from 2 species